rnacentral:rRNA from 1 species
UCCAGACUCCUACGGGAGGCAGCAGUGGGGGAUAUUGCACAAUGGGGGGAACCCUGAUGCAGCGACGCCGCGUGGGUGAAGGAGCACCUCGGUGCGUAAAGCCCUCUCGGCAGGGAAGAAACAGACGGUACCUGACUAAGAAGCCCCGGCUAACUACGUGCCAGCAGCCGCGGUAAUACGUAGGGGGCAAGCGUUAUCCGGAUUCACUGGGUGUAAAGGGAGCGUAGACGGCGACGCAAGUCUGGAGUGAAAGCCCGGGGCCCAACCCCGGGACUGCUCUUGGAACUGCGCGGCUGGAGUGCAGGAGGGGCAGGCGGAAUUCCUGGUGUAGCGGUGAAAUGCGUAGAUAUCAGGAGGAACACCGGUGGCGAAGGCGGCCUGCUGGACUGCGACUGACGUUGAGGCCCGAAAGCGUGGGGAGCAAACAGGAUUAGAUACCCUAGUAA